AGACAGGCCGGAGUUUGAGAUCUACUGCCAACCUCCCUUGCAGAGUUAGGGAACAUUUUACUUGGGGAAAAAAAGGUCUUCUCUUCCUGCAGAGAUCUGCGGCUGUAUCUUCCUGCAGAGCCUGAGCCCUGCCUGGCAGAGUAGGCAAAAAUGCAUCGUCAACAUCGGAACUGUUUGAUGAUUGCUAGU
rnacentral:lncRNA from 1 species